AAAAAAAAAAUCUGAACAGAAAAUGUUCAGCAAAUACAUCUGAACCUCCGUUAUAAUCUCCCUUUAGCCAUUUCCCAAGUCAGAAGCUACAAUCGGAAGUCAACUUAAGCUACGAUCCAGUCAGUCAGGAAGGCCGCCACAGCUAGAGGACCAGCCUGACAUCUCCUUCUGUGCAGUCCCGUUCUGUUUAGGAUCCUGCUCAGAGUAUGUAUGCUAUUAAUGGUUUUAACCACAAUGCAAAGCAGCAUCCGUAUCUCCACAUGUUGUAGACCAAACAUGAAAGGAAACCUGACCAAUUCAUGUUAGCCACUGUACUAGCCUAGCAUAAUACUGUCACUUCCUGGACAUAAAAUUAUCACGUUUAUACAAGAUACGUAUCACGUUAUAACGUGAUAGUGUAACCCAGCUGUAUUUUAUUUGUUUGUUCUGUGUUAUUUGCUUUUCUGUAUUGUUUGUAUCUUAUGGGUAGUGUCCCUUUAAGAGCAAAGCACGACAUCACUUUACGGCAGCGUUCCGACUGCAGUUACUAGGGAAACUCCCGGGCUUUAGAGUUUCAGAGCUGCUGCGGAGUAGAGACAUGCCAGUCUCUGCCGUCCUUCUGCAUAGCGCUUGACUUCUUUAUGCCUGAUAUAUGAUGUUUUCCUGCUAGAAAGGGACACUGGGAAGGUGCUCCUGUGCCUGCGGAGGAAGAGAGAGAGGCCGCGGAGUUUCUGUGUCUGUGGACAUCGGCUGCCGUCGUCAUUCUGGGUCGCCAUCCCAGCCAGGACAACCUCUUUCAUCGUUUUGUACGAAUCAGACACACACACAAAUAUAGAGCUCUAUAUGAACUUUUUUUUUUUGCUGGCCAGCUACUUUUAAUUAAUUUUUUUUCUUUUUACCAAGGACCCUGAAAGGAUUCUUUAUAAUCGAAGUAUUUUUUUUUUCUCUUUGUGGGUUUUUCCAGGAAAACUGUAUGACAGUGUUGAGACGAAGUUGGAUGUGUUUCAGUCCAGUAACUUGUAAUAAACAUAACUGGUUGAUAGUAAACUGCUAUCUGAA